rnacentral:rRNA from 1 species
CACGUAGGGUGCGAGCGUUGUCCGGAAUUAUUGGGCGUAAAGAGCUCGUAGGCGGCUCGUUGCGUCGGCUGUGAAAACCCGCAGCUCAACUGUGGGCUUGCAGCUGAUACGGGCGGGCUGGAGUUCGGUAGGGGAGACUGGAAUUCCUGGUGUAGCGGUGAAAUGCGCAGAUAUCAGGAGGAACACCGGUGGCGAAGGCGGGUCUCUGGGCCGAUACUGACGCUGAGGAGCGAAAGCGUGGGGAGCGAACAGG